rnacentral:rRNA from 1 species
CGGACGGGUGAGUAACACGUGGAUAACCUACCUAUAAGACUGGGAUAACUUCGGGAAACCGGAGCUAAUACCGGAUAACAUGUUGAACCGCAUGGUUCAACAGUGAAAGACGGUCUUGCUGUCACUUAUAGAUGGAUCCGCGCCGCAUUAGCUAGUUGGUAAGGUAACGGCUUACCAAGGCAACGAUGCGUAGCCGACCUGAGAGGGUGAUCGGCCACACUGGAACUGAGACACGGUCCAG